rnacentral:rRNA from 1 species
GGACUACCAGGGUUUCUAAUCCUGUUUGCUCCCCUUGCUCUCGCGCCUCAGCGUCAGGUAAUAGCUAGAAAACCGCUUUCGCCACAGGUGUUCUUCCACAUAUCUACGCAUUUCACCGCUACACGUGGAAUUCCAUUUUCUCCGCCAUCCCUCUAGUCGUACAGUUUCAAAUGCAGCUCCGAAGUUGAGCUCCGGAAUUUCACAUCUGACUUAUACAUCCGCCUACGCGCCCUUUACGCCCAAUAAUUCCGAUUAAUGCUUGCACCCUCCGUAUUACCGCGGCUGCUGGCAC